ensembl:ncRNA T05B4.15 ncRNA
GGCACAAGUCUCCAAAGCAGCAGUCUUCAUGUCUUGAACAAUAGCUGCUGGAGUAGCUGUGGCGGUUGUGUAGCAGUUCAAUGGUCGUUCAGCAUCGGUUCCAGCUGAUGGGUAUCCGGCAGUGGUGUCUGGAGCAGCGUAGAGAGCUUG